AGAAUCAACGCUGGCGGCGUGCCUAACACAUGCAAGUCGAACGAGAAAGUGGAGCAAUCCAUUAGUAAAGUGGCGCACGGGUGAGUAACACGUGACUAACCUACCCUUGAGUGGGGGAUAACCUAGAGAAAUCUGGGCUAAUACCGCAUAAUACCUUCGGGUCAAAGGAGCAAUUCGCUUAAGGAGGGGGUCGCGGCCGAUUAGUUAGUUGGCGGGGUAAUGGCCCACCAAGACUAUGAUCGGUAUCCGGCCUGAGAGGGCGCACGGACACACUGGAACUGAAACACGGUCCAGACUCCUACGGGAGGCAGCAGUGGGAAUUUGCGCAAUGGGGGAAACCCUGACGCAGCAACGCCGCGUGGAGGAUGAAGCCCCUUGGGGCGUAAACUCCUUUCGAUCGGGACGAUAAUGACGGUACCGAGAGAAGAAGCCCCGGCUAACUUCGUGCCAGCAGCCGC
rnacentral:rRNA from 1 species